rnacentral:rRNA from 1 species
AUGGCGUUGGCGACUCCGGCAGGCGGCGGCGAGGGUGUCGGCGGCGGCGGUGACCUACCGUUUUGGCCGCCUAGCGGCCCGGCUGGCGUCGACGGCGACGGAGGCGACGACUCCAGCUCCGCUUACUCAAGCGAUGACGGGGAGGAGUCACUGUUACUCUCCAUGGAGCAGCGGCUGCGGUUGGCGCAGUUGUGGGUGGCGAACCCUAGCAGCAGCCAUGAGUUGACGCAUGGACUCAGCGGCGUGUUGUACGUAUCCUUCUCCCCCUCCUCCUCUGAUUUAUCCAAUUGUGGAUUUUUAGGAUUAGUUCAUCUCCAGUUGGGGAUUAGGGUUUGUUCAUCUUCUGUGAGCACCGUAGGACAAUUACAGUAG